AAAACAUGACAUCCGAUGUCUUGACUCUCUAUUUUAAACAGUCCGUUAGUUUUAUUUUUGGUUCAAUGCUCCUAUAAAGGGUUAACUGUAAUGCGUCAGGCUGAUUGAGAACUGUUUGUCAGGAUGUCAGAGUAGAGACACUCUUUGGGAGAGCGUCGAGUUGCAGACCAAAUAUUAAUACAGAUGUCUUUUCAGUGUUAUCAGAUUUGACAGUUUUAUUAUUCUUUUAAUAGUCAUCCAGGCGUUUGUUAACUAAAGCAUUAGAAGUAUUUUUGCAUCAGUUCUUUGGAGAGUGAUGGGCCUCCAUUUUAUUUUUUAUUAUGGUAAAUGAAAGAAGGCAGAAUAUGUGUGAAGAUGGGAAAAUGCAUUGUACAUUAUGGUCCUGGUAAGAAUAAUACAAUAGACAUAUUUCAUUCUCAGUUGUGUGUCUGAUAAAGAAAAGUGAUUACAGAACUUUCAGAGUCUGUUCCAGAACUAAGGAAACCAUUGUCAUAUUCAAAUCAUUUCUAGUAAAGUUUGGAACAUUUUAUUUCUUAUUGGUUUUCUGUAAGGGUCAUGUUCUUCACUAAAGUAAUGGCAUUCCGAUAUUAAACACAUUGUUCAUAGAUUAGGAGAUAAUAACACCACCUGGUCUAAAAUGAAAGAAUGUAAGUGACCAUUGGAGGUGUUAGGACAGAUAGAACCCAUUUACUCUGGCUCAGUACUUGUGUAGUCAUGUAUAAUGGCAUAUAUCCACCCAUACUGAACUCAUUAUGUACAACAGGAAUCCUCAAGGCUACAAUAAUCUGCUCUGUUGAACCACAACACAGAUGACAAUGGUAUAAUUAUACAUAGCCUGGUCAAAAAAAGUCCCACAUGGACCUUCUUUUUCUGUGAUUUGGCUGCACUAUCUAUGGUAACAUUUCAAUAAGCCGAUGCAGUAUCACAACCUUUAUUUCCAUCAUUUCUUGUUCGCAUAACACUGCUGAUCCUAGACCUCAUCAACUGAAUCAGCCCCAGAUCACAACACUGCCCCCCCCCCAGGCUUGUUCUGUUGACACUAGGCAUGAUGGGUAUCACUUCAUCCACCUCGAUCUCCUCAUCCUGAUGGGGUCAAUCUGACCACAUCAUCAGACCACACGACCUUUUUCAGUUAGGGUUCAUUUUUUUUCUCUUUUUUUGACAUAUUUGGUUCAUGUGAUCCAAACUAUCUCUUGUAAGUCAUUAGUCACUUUUCCGUUGACCCUCAAAGCGCGUGACUAUAACUUGUGUAUAAAAAUUUGCCUACUGG